rnacentral:rRNA from 1 species
GACGAACGCUGGCGGCGUGCUUAACACAUGCAAGUCGAACGGAAAGGCCCUGCUUUUGUGGGGUGCUCGAGUGGCGAACGGGUGAGUAACACGUGAGUAACCUGCCCUUGACUUUGGGAUAACUUCAGGAAACUGGGGCUAAUACCGGAUAGGAGCUCCUGCUGCAUGGUGGGGGUUGGAAAGUUUCGGCGGUUGGGGAUGGACUCGCGGCUUAUCAGCUUGUUGGUGGGGUAGUGGCUUACCAAGGCUUUGCCGGGUAGCCGGCCUGAGAGGGUGACCGGCCACAUUGGGACUGCGAUACGGCCCAGACUCGUACGGGAGGCAGCAGGGGGGAAUAUGGCACAGUGGGCGGAAGCCUGAUGCAGCAACGCCGCGUGCGGGAUGACGGCCUUCGGGUUGUAAACCGCUUUCGCCUGUGACGAAGCGUGAGUGACGGUAAUGGGUAAAGAAGCACCGGCUAACUACGUG